UAUAAUUUGAGCUUAAAAAACUAAUAAAAGAAUUAAGGGUUAAAGGCCCAUGAACCAGAGUCGACAGUCCUCCGAGUUUACUCAGAUCUGUUUGUCUUUCCUUCCCGACAAAUAGGGAGAAGCAGAUAUAACUAAUAUUCCUCCAUCGCCGUAGCCGUAGCCAUAGCCAUGGCGAUUCGCUCCUUUCUUAUUCUCUUUAUUCUCUUCUUUUUUUCUUCUUUAAAUCCAAUCCUUUCUCUUUAUGAAGAUCAAGUAGGCCUGGUGGAUUGGCAUCAACAAUACCUCGGGAAAGUGAAGCAAGCUGUGUUCCACACUCAUAAAACUGGUCGGAAACGAGUUGUAGUAUCCACUGAAGAGAACGUUGUAGCUUCACUUGAUCUCCGCCAAGGCGAGAUUUUUUGGAGACAUGUUCUUGGGUCUAACGAUGUUAUCGAUGGAAUCGAUAUUGCUCUUGGAAAGUAUGUCAUUACCCUUUCAUCAGGAGGAAGUAUUUUGAGAGCAUGGAAUCUUCCCGAUGGGCAGAUGGUGUGGGAAUCUUCUCUUCGGGGUCCAAAGCACUCAAAAUCAUUGUUUUUAGUGCGGACAAAUUUGAAAAUUGAAAAGGAUAAUAUAGUCAUCAUUUUCAGCAAUGGUCGUCUUAAUGCUGUUUCCUGCAUAGAUGGCGAAGUUCUCUGGGAGAAGGAUUUUGAAGGAGAAAGUCUCAAGGUUCAGCAGGUAAUUCAGCCUCCUGGCAGUAAUUUAAUAUACGUUGUAGGAUUUGUUUCUUCAUCCCUGUUUGAGAUGUAUCAAAUCAAUGCCUUGAAUGGAGAGUUGUUGAAGCAUGAAAGUGCUGCCUUUUCUGGUGGGUUUUUGGGAGAAGUUUCACCUGUUUUCAGUGAGACAGUUGUGGCCCUUGAUUCCACAGGGUUGAUUUUGCUGACAAUAAGUUUCCAAAAUGGAAAGAUUAGUUUUCACCAGACGCCAAUUUCAAAUCUUGUCAAGGAUUCCUUUGGACCGGCUAAAAUAAUAACUUCAUCAGUUACAGGAAUAUUUGCAAUUAAAAUGAAUGCAGUUACCAUAGUUAUUAGAGUGAAAGAUGAGAGCAAGCUGGAAGUGGUGGAAAAAACAAAUCAUGAAACAUCUAUUAGUGAUGCUCUCUCAAUCUCUGAGGGCCAACAAGCAUUUGCAUUGGUUCAACAUGCAAGCCACGAGAUUCAUCUCAGAGUAAAGCUUGCUCACAAUUGGGAUGAUAAUUUGCUUAAGGAAAGUGUUAAAAUGGACCAGCAUCGUGGGCUGGUCCACAAGGUUUACAUCAAUAAUUAUAUCAGAACCGAUAAGUCUUAUGGAUUUAGGGCAUUGAUUGUGAUGGAAGAUCAUUCAUUGUUGUUAUUGCAACAAGGUGAGAUUGUCUGGAGCAGGGAAGAUGGUUUGGCAUCAAUAAUUGAUGUCACGACUUCAGAACUCCCUGUGGAAAGGGAUGGUGUAUCUGUUGCAAAAGUGGAGCACAACCUCUUUGAAUGGCUUAAGGGUCAUAUGCUGAAGCUCAAGGGAACACUAAUGCUUGCAAGCCCUCAGGAUGUAGCAGCCAUACAAAGUAUGAGAUUAAAAAAUUCCGAGAAGAGCAAAAUGACUCGAGAUCACAAUGGCUUUCGGAAGCUGCUUAUAGUACUAACAAGGGCAGGGAAGCUUUUUGCAUUGCAUACUGGAGAUGGACAUAUUGUCUGGUCUUACUUGUUACAGUCUUUACAAAAAUCAAAGGUGUGUCAACAUCCGAUAGGACUAAACUUGUACAAGUGGCAAGUUCCGCAUCAUCACGCUAUGGAUGAAAAUCCAUCUGUGCUUGUAAUUGGCAAGUGUGGUCCAAGUUCUGAUGCACCAGGUGCACUUUCUUUUGUUGACACUUAUACAGGAAAGGAGCUUAGUUCUUUAAGUCUUGUUCAUUCGGUUGCACAAGUUAUUCCACUGCCGUAUACAGAUUCAACAGAACAAUGUCUCCAUCUGUUAAUUGAUGCUGAUAAGCAUGCACAUUUAUACCCCAAAACACCCGAGGCUAUUAGUACUUUCGAACGUGAGUUUUCAAACAUAUACUGGUACUCUGUUGAGGAUGAUAAUGGCAUAAUCAAGGGGCAUGCUUUGAGGGGCAAGUGCACUGGUGAAGUGGCUGAUGAAGUCUGCUUUGACACCAGGGAGUUGUGGUCAAUUGUGUUCCCCUCAGAAUCAGAAAAGAUCAUUGCAAUUGUCACUAGAAAACUGAAUGAGGUGGUACAUACUCAAGCAAAGGUUAUAGCAGACCAGGAGGUCAUGUAUAAAUAUAUAUCAAGAAAUCUACUUUUUGUGGCAACUGUUGCACUCAAAGGCAGUGUUGAAAUUGGAUCUGUUACACCAGAAGAAUCGUGGUUAGUUGCAUAUCUUAUUGACACUGUAACAGGCCGUAUAUUGCACCGAGUGACCCAUCAUGGCUCACAGGGUCCUGUUCAUGCUGUUUUUAGUGAGAACUGGGUUGUCUAUCACUACUUCAAUCUUAAAGCGCACAGAUAUGAGAUGUCAGUCAUUGAAAUUUAUGACCAAUCUCGGGCUGACAACAAAGAUGUUUGGAAGCUUGUUCUUGGAAAGCACAACCUUACCUCGCCGAUUUCUCUAUAUUCUCGCCCAGAUGUCAUAACAAAAUCGCAAUCUUACUUUUUCACUCAUUCUGUGAAAGCCAUAGCUGUGACCUCAACCACAAAGGGUAUUACUUCAAAGCAGCUUCUAAUCGGUACAAUUGGUGAUCAGGUUUUGGCACUUGAUAAGCGUUUCUUGGAUCCUCGUCGAACAGUUAAUCCCACACAAGCAGAGAAAGAAGAGGGCAUUAUACCACUAACCGAUUCAUUGCCAAUCAUUCCUCAGUCCUAUGUUACACAUGCCCUUCGAGUGGAAGGUCUUCGAGGUAUAAUAACCGUGCCUGCUAAGCUGGAAUCAACAACCCUCGUCUUUGCACAUGGUGUGGACCUCUUUUUUACUCAACUUGCACCAUCGAGGACAUACGAUUCACUCACAGACGAUUUUAAUUACGCCCUGCUCCUCAUAACAAUCGUGGCACUCUUGGCAGCAAUCUUUGUAACCUGGACUUUGUCCGAGAGGAAAGAACUACAAGAAAACUGGAGAUGAGUAAGUCUGGGCUUAAUGUUCAUUUACAUUUGUGUACUAACAAAAUACACUUUGUUUUAGUUGACAGAGAUGCUUUUUAUGAUUUGAGCUUAGAUUUGGAGGAAAAAUACAAGGAAUAGAAUAUGUUCAGCAUGUAUCUACUUAUCACGAAAGAAUAUGAGAAUUGAUUCAUCCAUUAAGUAUCAGAGGAGCUUUCUAGGGAAUAUCAACCCUUCAACGGGUAAUUUCGUAUCGUCAAAGGCAGUUUAUUAACACAAUUCAUCAUCAAUUGCCUUAUAUAUUGAAUUCUCCAAUUGCUCUGUAAUGGAAAUUGAGAUUUAAACAUAACCACUAUCACCAUAAAUGCAUGUUGAAUAUAUUCAUAAUUAUUCAA